GAUGAACGCUGGCGGCGUGCCUAAUACAUGCAAGUCGAGCGAACGGACGAGAAGCUUGCUUCUCUGAUGUUAGCGGCGGACGGGUGAGUAACACGUGGAUAACCUACCUAUAAGACUGGGAUAACUUCGGGAAACCGUAGCUAAUACCGGAUAAUAUUUUGAACCGCAUGGUUCAAAAGUGAAAGACGGUCUUGCUGUCACUUAUAGAUGGAUCCGCGCUGCAUUAGCUAGUUGGUAAGGUAACGGCUUACCAAGGCAACGAUGCAUAGCCGACCUGAGAGGAUGAUCGGCCACACUGGAACUGAGACACGGUCCAGACUCCUACGGGAGGCAGCAGUAGGGAAUCUUCCGCAAAGGGCGAAAGCCUGACGGAGCAACGCCGCGUGAGUGAUGAAGGUCUUCGGAUCGUAAAACUCUGUUAUUAGGGAAGAACAUAUGUGUAAGUAACUGUGCACAUCUUGACGGUACCUAAUCAGAAAGCCACGGCUAACUACGUG
rnacentral:rRNA from 1 species